CUGCACUGUUUAUAAUGUGCGGCUUGCCACCUAUUGGCAUUCUGCUUUCAAAUCAGUGCAAGAGAAACUUCAGUUUGCAGAAGGGCCGAAUCAAACCAUUGGUUCUUCCCUUUCGAAGGCUGAGCACAGUU